rnacentral:sRNA from 1 species
CUUGAGCCCUGGAUUUCAGGGUUGCAGUGAGCUGAGAUCACACCACUGCACUCUAGCCUGGACAACAGAGCCAGAACUUGUCUUAAAUAACAAAACAAAACAAAAAGCUGCUUUCUGUAGGGCCUGACUUCAGUGCUAAUCAUGUCUUGUCUAUUUUAUGAGUAAAUGACAUAUCUUCUCAAAUAAAUUACAUACCCCUAAGCAAUCAUUAUUUUAUCCUAUACUACUUUAAUAUAUUUUUUAAUACCUAGGCAUUGUGUGUGGUAGAGGAAAUAAUCACUGAAAUAUCACUAAAAAUAAUAAUUGCAGCUGGACAUGGUGGUUCACGUCUGUGAUCCUAGCACUUUGGGAGGCCAAGUUGAGUCCAGGAGUUCAAGACCAACCUGGGCAACUUAGUGAGACCCCGUCUCUACCAAAAAAACAAUUAGCCAGGCAUGGUGGUGUGGCCCUGUAGUUCCAGGUAAUCGAGAGGCUGAGGUGGGAGGAUUGCUUGAGCCCAGGAGUUGGAGGCUGCAGUGAGCUAUGAUUGUACCACUGCACUCUAGCCUAGGCAACAGAGUGAGAUCCUUUAAAAAUAAUAAUAAUAAUAAUAAUUGGAUUUCUUUUCUUUUUAGAUUCUUCUUUAGAACUCUUCCUUCUCAUCCACAAUUUGGAUAGCCAGAUGUUGAGAGGAGAGAAGAGCCAGCAAAUCAUUGGUCAGUUGUCGUCUUUGCAUAACAUUUACCUUAUAGCAUCCAUUGACCACCUCAACGCUCCUCUCAUGUGGGAUCAUGCAAAGCAGAGUCUUUUUAACUGGCUCUGGUAUGAAACUACUACAUAUAGUCCUUAUACUGAAGAAACCUCCUAUGAGAACUCUCUUCUGGUAAAGCAGUCUGGAUCCCUGCCACUUAGCUCCCUUACUCAUGUCUUACGAAGCCUUACCCCUAAUGCAAGG